UGGUGCCUGUCCUGUCCACAUGAGGAAGGAUGAGGCACAGAGACAUAGAACCUCUUACUGCGAUGCUGGGUGGUAACCAAAUCAGAAAACCAGGACCCCUGACCCUGAGUGCAUCUCUGAGCAGAGAGUCACACAGCUGAGAAGGAAGGGAAGAAAUCAAGUUCUCGGUGACAUCUGAGUCAUGCUCGGGACUUUGCCAUUCUUCCCAUUCCCAAAGUACAAGUUUCUCCAUGUGUGUC